CUUCCUUAAGCGACACAUUAUACUUUGAUAGCAACCCUGAGGGCAGGACAGCUUCUGUACAUUAUGUUUUGGAUUCUUCAAUAAGUAAUGUCGGCAGGUUGACAUAAUUCCAGUCAUGACUUCAAGGACGAGUAUCUUUCCACUUGUGUUCCCAGCCUUGGUGGUGUGCCUAGCUGUUAUACUCGUCUGCUUGUAUCAGUACGCAAGAAAGAAGAGAGCAGCAUAUGACUUUGCCAUCGCAAGACUGCAAGAUGAAAACACAUCUGUAGCAGUCUUUACAAUUUCUUUGUCUGAAGAUCAGGCAGAAACGGACAGACAUGACAUCCCUCCUCCGUACAGCCCUGUGGGAGACCCACCGCCAUACGCAUUGUUUGACCCCAAGUUGACGAGCGUUUGGCCGGUGGACUCACUACCUGCCUACGAGAUGCAUGAUAUAACACUGCCUCUGGCACCUCAUCACCAGAUGACAACCACAGCACCAGCCUCUUCAUCCGAAAGCAGCACCCAUAACCACCCAUAGCCAGAAAGGCUACACCAGGCACACACUCCAUUUUAACUGCCAACAAACGCUGACGCACUUUCUUUUGUUUUUGUGUGUAAUGUGUAUUAUGAAAAAAUACUAUCGCCAAUUAUUUCAUGUUGUGAUUUUAACUUAAAAAUAAUUUGCAUUGAUAUUAACUGCAGACGGUGAAGCAAUGCUCGACAUUUGCAAUUUUAAUACAUUUUUAUAUGAACAUCAAAACUACAGUGUAGUUGUCCAACUGCAUCUACACACCAGCAGAAUCAUCAAAGCACCAAGUGUUUCUCUAUGUUAUACUAUAUACUCUUUAUUACAAUACAGUACUUACAAGUUUGAGGGAAAAUAAAAUAAAUAUUAAAUGAGUUGCCAGUAUUAUUUUUCUCUAUUUUCUAAGAAGAAACGUGUACAGUGAUAGUGUUUCCUUGGCUUUUGAAUCAUGUUAAGGCAAAAGUAAGUAUGAAUUUGAAGCCACUGAUAAAUAUUUUACUGAUCUGUACAUUAAAAAUAACAAAGAAAAAAACAUGACAACCUCCAUUAAUUGUCCAACCUGUAAUGUUAAAUAAUAUGUUUGCCUUCAUUAUACAAUCAGUGCAUACUGUAGGCUACUUCUUUAGUUUUUUCUUCAGUUUUUUUGUUGUUCUCAGUGCUACAAUUACAACUCCAACAGAAUCAAGCAGGUACUAGUCGGAAACUGUGAUUCGUUCGCUGGUCCUCUCACUGUCCAACAAAUCAGACGCUUUGCCAGCAUAGGACAACAAAUGUACAUAAUUAACAUUUAAAAAGGAAACAAAAUAAAUCGAGACGGCAAGAUUAACACAAAAUGUA